rnacentral:tRNA from 1 species
GGACGCUUAGCUCAGCUGGAGAGCAUCUGCCUUACAAGCAGAGGGUCGGCGGUUCGAUCCGUCAGCGUCCACCA